UACGGGGGGGGCAAGCGUUGUUCGGAAUUACUGGGCGUAAAGGGCGCGUAGGCGGGCUGGUAAGUCAGGGGUGAAAGCCCACGGCCCAACCGUGGAAGUGCCUUUGAUACUGCCAGUCUCGAGGGAGGUAGGGGCGUGCGGAACUUCCGGUGGAGCGGUGAAAUGCGUAGAUAUCGGAAGGAACACCGGUGGCGAAAGCGGCGCGCUGGACCUCUUCUGACGCUGAGGCGCGAAAGCCAGGGGAGCAAACGGG
rnacentral:rRNA from 1 species